rnacentral:rRNA from 1 species
AACGAACGCUGGCGGCAUGCCUAACACAUGCAAGUCGAACGAAGCCUUCGGGCUUAGUGGCGCACGGGUGCGUAACGCGUGGGAAUCUGCCCCUUGCUUCGGAAUAACAGUUAGAAAUGACUGCUAAUACCGGAUGAAGUCUUCGGACCAAAGAUUUAUCGGCAAGGGAUGAACCCGCGUAGGAUUAGGUAGUUGGUGGGGUAAAGGCCUACCAAGCCGACGAUCCUUAGCUGGUCUGAGAGGAUGAUCAGCCACACUGGGACUGAGACACGGCCCAGACUCCUACGGGAGGCAGCAGUGGGGAAUAUUGGACAAUGGACGCAAGUCUGAUCCAGCAAUGCCGCGUGAGUGAUGAAGGCCUUAGGGUUGUAAAGCUCUUUUACCAGGGAUGAUAAUGACAGUACCUGGAGAAUAAGCUCCGGCUAACUCCGUG